rnacentral:rRNA from 1 species
UACAGAGGUCUCAAGCGUUGUUCGGAUUCAUUGGGCGUAAAGGGCGCGUAGGCGGCGGGGUAAGUCGGGUGUGAAAUCUCAGGGCUCAACCCUGAAACUGCACUUGAUACUGCUCUGCUUGAGGACUGGAGAGGAGACUGGAAUUCACGGUGUAGCAGUGAAAUGCGUAGAUAUCGUGAGGAAGACCAGUGGCGAAGGCGGGUCUCUGGACAGUUCCUGACGCUGAGGGCGCGAAGGCCAGGG